GUCUGACUUCAAAUGAAUGUGCCUCUGCUUCAAACACACAGCAGGAGGGAAGCAGGAGAAGCGCAGAGCUUCCUGACAUCCUCAAUGAUGACAUCUUCAAACAUCCACCCCCCCCCCUGCACUCUGCAGACACACCCAACGCUCACUGCAGAUUGAAGACGCGUCUCCAAGUGAAAGCCAGAGGGAGAAGACGGCUUUCUAAAACCGGCUGAUUAAGACGUGGCUGCUUCCUCAGGAGGAGGUUACUGAUGUCGACCAUAUUCACCCAGUUGGAGGUAUCGUACUUAACCCGGGCUGUAUUCUGAGGUUUCUUGGGUGCGUCCACUGAAGAAGAUUGCUGUCAGACGCAGUUGUUGUGUAAGAGACCGUAAACAUCUCAGCUGCUGAUUGUGAUCAACGUCGUGCUUCGCACUCUGCAGUGCUGGAAAUGAAUUACGUCUUCACGCACACAGCAUGAUUUCAUUCUCCAUGGACACGAGGGAGGUGGACAGAGGAGGGCAGAUCAAAAUGCUGAAGUCACAUGCUUUGCCUUCACAUCGUUUGAAAUAUUUAACUGAAGUAACUGUGUGAUUUUCUCAUGUGGCUUCUACAUGUUGUUGCACGGCAGAAAUAUUUGUUUUAUGAUAAAGUAUGAUCAGAUGUGAA